rnacentral:tRNA from 1 species
GAGGCUUGUAGUUCAGUUGGUUAGAAUACCGUUCCGCUGGGCACAAAUUGCCAGAGCCAUUGGGGGUCGCGGGUUCGAGUCCCGCCAAGCUUCACC